GACGGGGGGGGCAAGUGUUCUUCGGAAUGACUGGGCGUAAAGGGCGCGUAGGCGGGAUGGCAAGUCGGUCGUGAAAUCUCUCGGCUCAACCGAGAAACGUCGGCCGAUACUGCCGUUCUUGAAGGAUGCAGAGGAGACUGGAAUUCCCGGUGUAGCGGUGAAAUGUGUAGAGAUCGGGAGGAACACCGGUGGCGAAGGCGGGUCUCUGGGCAUUUCCUGACGCUGAGGCGCGAAAGCCAGGGGAGCAAACGGG
rnacentral:rRNA from 1 species